rfam:Biomphalaria glabrata isolate BB02 unplaced genomic scaffold LGTN_random_Scaffold191, whole genome shotgun sequence.
GGAAGCAUACCCAAGCCCGGUUGAAGGGGUCGGUCUUGAAAACCGAAAGGGGCUGCGAGGCCCGCGGGGGUUCGAAUCCCUCUGCUUCCG